AUUCACAGCAGUUCCCUGAACUGUUCACGCUUAAUACAUUUUUAUCUCUUCUUAUUCUAGCAAUUAUUAAGACUUGGAAUCAGUUGCAAAGACUGAUGCCGCUGGAUUUGUUCAGCUCACCUCUUUGAAUCAUGUUUUAUGUUAAGGAGGCCAGGACUAUCAAUCAGGCAAAGGUGUUGACAUGUGUGUUCCCCAGAGGUUAUACACAGGGCGCUAAGCUCAUGUCAUUAUCAGCUCUAACUGCAAUAUGAGAACAGCCCUGAGCUUUCAAAUGUGGCACGCUUACGCACACCAGCAUGCACUAAAAGGUAUUGUCUACAAAGCAAGGAGAAGUUCUGAUAACAACAGGCGAAGAGGGAGCGAGACUUCAAUCUCUUCUCAGGUCGACAUUACUCAACUAGAUUAUGAGGAACACGGAAUCAAAAUCAUGCUGCAGCUCCAGUCACCAGUCCUUCAAGCUCCUGAUGUUUGCAGAUGACACCAACUUCAUUGGACGUGGUGCGGAGGUAACAACUUGGAACUCAACGGCGUAAAGACAUCAGCUCCGUCACUAUGAAGUCUCAGCAGAGGUUGUUUUUCCUGAGGCAGCUGAAGAAAUUCAACCUGCCAAAGACGAUGAUGGUGCACUUCUACACGGCCAUCGUUGAGUCCAUCCUCUGCUCCUCCAUCACCGUCUGGUACGCUGCAGCCACAGCCAAGGACAAGGGCAGGCUGCAGCGUGUCAUUGGUUCUGCUGAGAGGGUGAUUGGCUGCAAUCUGCCGUCCCUCCAAGACUCGUUUGCCUCCAAGCCUGUAGCCGACCCGUCUGACUUUUUGAGCCUCUUUCCUUUGACAGAAGGCUGCGGUCCAUCAGGACCAAGAUGGUCCCCAACCCCAACUUACCUAUUCCAGUAAAACGUGCAAUAAAUGACAAACAAUCUGCGCUGGGGAUAUUGCAAGAAGCAAAAUAACAGCUGUUACAACAUAUCGGUAAACAAAAGGAAGUGAUUCAUGGGAGCACAGAUACAUGCACUUCUAAUAAUAGUCACGCCAGGCUUUGUGGGUGCAGUAAGAGAAUGCAUGUCUUAUUUAAUUUGGUGUAUUUUUGACCUACCAUGAUCUGCUGGCAGACACCCAGCAUGUCUGUUUGGCAAGUAAACUGUUUAUGUGGGAUUAGCACAUGAAGUAAAGGUCAUUUGGGGAAAGUGACUCUUGUAAGUGCAUUGCAGGGACAGUAAACACAGCUACUCAUGGGGGCCUUUUCCACAGGGAAACGAUAAGGAGCCCAAGUCAAGACAAUAAAAACCAGACCCUGCAAAAUACUAAUUAGUAUCCUAGAGAAAUUCACUUUUUCUAGUAAAACCAGUGAUCCCUAAUCUCCUAUUAUUUAAAAAUCAGAGAAAAGUAUAACAAAUUGAACAUACUGUACAAACAGCUGCCUCAUCAGGAAUCAGGAGGAAUCAGGAAUCAGGAAUCAGGAAAAUAUUCAUAUAGAAUAUUCUUAUUUUGUGUUUUGUGUCUUGUGUUUGGAGAAUGCAUGCAAUGCAAUUCAAAUGUGGUAAUUGCCCCCAAACUCACAUGCAGUCUAGUCUGCGCAUGAAGAUUAAAUGAACCUGAACCCACCAGCGCAAGGUUCCAUUACAGUGAACCAGCUCAAUCAGGC
ensembl:lncRNA